rnacentral:rRNA from 1 species
GACGAACGCUGGCGGCGUGCCUAAUACAUGCAAGUAGAACGCUGAAGAGAGGAGCUUACUCUUCUUGGAUGAGUUGCGAACGGGUGAGUAACGCGUAGGUAACCUGCCUUGUAGCGGGGGAUAACUAUUGGAAACGAUAGCUAAUACCGCAUAACAAUGGAUGACACAUGUCAUUUAUUUGAAAGGGGCAAUUGCUCCACUACAAGAUGGACCUGCGUUGUAUUAGCUAGUAGGUGAGGUAAUGGCUCACCUAGGCGACGAUACAUAGCCGACCUGAGAGGGUGAUCGGCCACACUGGGACUGAGACACGGCCCAGACUCCUACGGGAGGCAGCAGUAGGGGAUCUUCGGCAAUGGGGGCAACCCUGACCGAGCAACGCCGCGUGAGUGAAGAAGGUUUUCGGAUCGUAAAGCUCUGUUGUAAGUCAAGAACGGGUGUGAGAGUGGAAAGUCCACACUGUGACGGUAGCUUACCAGAAAGGGACGGCUAACUACGUG